GCGUAGUAAGAAAUACCAGCUUGAGAUUCAUUUCAAGGUUGAAAGUACAUAUUCCGGUCUCCUGAGAACGAACAUUCUGAGUUGAGGUUUCAAUUGGAUUUUUAAACGGUAGAUUCUCUUGAAGUUACGUUCAAAUUGUGUCGAUAAACGUUCCCCUGUUGACAUCUUGCAAAACAGUCUCAGAAAGAAAGCCCCUUUGCUUCUGCAGCCUUAAACAGCAAAGAGCUUCCUCAGUUCUUUGUGUAUUGUGUGUGUGGUUGGUUUUGGUCCUUCUAUUGAAAAGCAAAUGCCUACACACCGGUAUGUUCCUACACUUUAAAUACUUUUUUUCAAGAUCUCUAUAGUGCAGUUCUGCAGUUCUGUUUCAAGCUAAACUGGAGUCUAUGUUGUAGUGCACAAAAAUAAAAUGUUAGAACCUGUUGUUAAGAAUUAGGAGACGACUAUAUCAAUGGUAAGCAUGUGCUCCCUGACUAUUCAAAGUUCUACUGGAGUAUAUUAUCCCUUCCUAUAUUGCCUGCAUACUUAUCUUGAUGUUAUAUUGUAGUUGUCUCUUGUUUCUAAGACAGUAUGUAUAUUUCUCCACCUGAGUACUUUAUACUAUAAACUCUUCUGAACAUUCUUACUGUAUCCAGCACUAAAUUCAUAGAAGGGUUGCUGAAUUCACGUCUGAUGAAAUUCACCUAUUUUUGCAGGUGGGAGGAAAUAUGGGCAGUAAAAUAUCUGAUAGGGAAAGCUCUGACCCAGAUAAUAGCUGUGCCAGUAAAAUAAGAAAAAGAACAAAAGGCAAUUUCUGAGAACACAUAGAAUUCAAGGAAAAGAUACGUUUUGAAAACAGAUUCAGUAAUACUGAAGACCAAAUCCUGCAUCUUCUGCCUUCAGAAAACUAGUCCUGUAAUGUGUUCAGCCCUUGACUGGCAGCAGUUCUACCUUUUCUUCCAUCUUCUGAGCAUCAUUAAAACGGAAAAUUUACAAGGACAGCAACCUAGCGGGUGGCUCCACUCUGUGUCGCACCCCUCCCUCCUUAACAUAAACAACACUACAAGGACAGUAAUUUACGAGGUGGCUCCCCUCUGCCUCGCCCCCUCCUCAACCCAAACAAAAAAAAGAACACUCCCCUGGUUUCCCCGUGCUGCCGAGCACCGCGUCCCAAGGUUCGCUCCCUGAACUCCCUCCCCCUUGCCUGCCCGCUUGCUGUGUACGUAGGAAUGUUACAGAUAAGGAAGCAGAAAGGUAUAAAUUGCUCUUUUCCUUUGUUCCGGGCUCAGACUUUUUGGGAGAUUACUCCCCUCUGAGCCUGCCAGUGUGAAAUAAAGCCUCAACACUCCUAGACCUCCGAGUGCCGCUUGGUUUUUUCCGUGGGUGAUCCAGUCCAGGUUUUUUUUCAGUAUUUUCCGUAACAUUUGGUUCCCUCACCGGGAAACCCAACCGCGCUGGCCCUUUGUUGCCACCGGUUUGGGGCAAUGGCGGGGCGGUGAAGGAACAGGAGAUCGCAACGGAGAAGGCGCGCCCUGCCUGACCCCUCGGCAGUCUCCCACCCGGUCGCCCUGGGCCAGCCCCGCUCCGCUGUUCCCGCGGGACUCAAGCAGGCUUGGCAGGUGAGGACCUGGUUCUGACACUGAAUCCGGUUGCAGGCGUCACUCCAGGGGUCCGUCAUUCCUGAGUGAAAGGAGCCUGUCACCCUGACAAGGAAGCACAUCAGGAGGAGGCCCAGCCAUACCUCCAGAUCCUCUGCGCCUCGGCAUCCCACGAUUGCCCUCUGACUACACCUGCACUCUGGGCAUUAGACUUUGUGCUGCUGCACCCCUGGACUGGACUAUUCCUCAAAAAGUUGCUCUUUCUAUUGUCUAUUGGGUAAUCUUAAAUUGUUUUACUGUGCUUACCUGUCUCUCUUAGCUGGACCCAAGUCUCAACCUGCAUUUCCAAAGUACCUCUCUGUAAUGUUUAAUUGUACAAAAGUUAUAAAGUGCAUAGUGGGCUAACGGGGGCUACCUCCUUUCCCCGGAACAAGCUGCCCCUUUACUGAUCCCUGCUCUGGUCGGGCUCAGUGGAGCCGGAUCAGCUGCAGUAGACACAGCAGCUCUAAUAGACUUAGGGCCUGAUGCCCUAACAGAGGAAGCUGAUCAAGGUUUAGAGCAGCUUGAAACCACCAUGAUUCAGCCGCAAGAUCAGAUCAGACUGAUUCCCUGGCUAAAGUGUUGCAAAAUUGUAGAAGACUGGACCUCCUGUUCAUGUCACAGGGAAGCUUAUGUGUAGCCCUCAAAGAAGAUUGUUGUUUUUAUACAAAUAAGUCUGGCAUAGUUAAGAGUAAUCUAGCCAAAGUAAAAAAAACAUCCAGCAUAGGAAUAAAAUGUUAGAAAAUAAAAAGUCUUAGUUCCAAGAAUGAUUUGAAUAGAAUCCAUGGCUGACAACUCUUCUGACUUGGCAGUGCUGGGCCGGCGAUUCUGCUGUUCCUUAAACUAUUAGUAGAACUCUGUGUAUUAACUGGCUCGUUAACUUUAUCGAGGAAUGCAUUUCCUCCAUACAGCUCAUGUAUAUGCGGAGCCACUACGACCCUGUCAUAAGCCAAGGAGAUGAUGCCCCCUAAAACGAAGUGUUUGAAGGGGCAUCAGAGGGGGGAAUGAUAGGGAAAAUUUACAAGGACAGCAACCUAGCGGGUGGCUCCACUCUGUGUCGCACCCCUCCCUCCUCAACAUAAACAACACUACAAGGACAGUAAUUUACGAGGUGGCUCCCCUCUGCCUCGCCCCCUCCUCAACCCAAACAUAAAAAGAACACUCCCCUGGUUUCCCCGUGCUGCCGAGCACCGCGUCCCAAGGUUCGCUCCCUGAACUCCCUCCCCCUUGCCUGCUCGCUUGCUGUGUACGUAGGAAUGUUACAGAUAAGGAAGCAGAAAGGUAUAAAUUGCUCCCUUUUCCUUUGUUCGGGGCUCAGACUUUUUGGGAAAUUACUCCCCUCUGAGCCCGCCGGUGUGAAAUAAAGCCUCAACACUCCAA